GUGCUCACUUCUGCAGCACAUAUGCUAAGAAUUGGAACAACACAGAGAAUAUUAGCAUGGCCCCUGCACAAGGAUGACACACAAAAUGCCUAGUUGGACUGUCAAUGG